AUUGAACGCUGGCGGCAGGCCUAACACAUGCAAGUAGAGCGGAGUGGCGGACGGGUGAGGAAUGCCUAGGAAUCUGCCUGGUAGUGGGGGAUAACGUCCGGAAACGGGCGCUAAUACCGCAUACUAUCAGAUGAGCCUAGGUCGGAUUAGCUUGUUGGUGGGGUAACGGCUCACAAAGGCGACGAUCCCUAGCUGGUCUGAGAGGAUGACCAGCCACACUGGAACUGAGACACGGUCCAGACCCCGACGGGAGGCAGCAGUGGGGAAGAUUGCACAAGGGGCGCAAGCCGUAUGCAGCCAUGCCGCGUGUAUGAAGAAGGCCUUCGGGUUGUAAAGUACUUUCAGCGGGGAGGCGUUACCCGCAGAAGAAGCACCGGCUAACUCCGUGCCAGCAGCCGCGGUAAUUC
rnacentral:rRNA from 1 species